GGUUCAAUGCCACGUCGCUGGUAGCUAACUGUGCAAUGACCAGCGAUGCUAUGAUUGGACCAAAAGCAAGAGUUAAUUGUUUCGCAUCUUGAUAGGAAUCCGUGGAGUCGUUACUCAUUUCAUUUACGGAGCCGUUUUCUGCGAUUACAUUU